rnacentral:rRNA from 1 species
UGGGGAAUCUUGGACAAUGGGGGCAACCCUGAUCCAGCCAUGCCGCGUGAGUGAUGAAGGCCUUAGGGUCGUAAAGCUCUUUCGCCUGUGAAGAUAAUGACGGUAGCAGGUAAAGAAACCCCGGCUAACUCCGUGCCAGCAGCCGCGGUAAUACGGAGGGGGUUAGCGUUGUUCGGAAUUACUGGGCGUAAAGCGCACGUAGGCGGACCAGAAAGUUGGGGGUGAAAUCCCGGGGGCUCAACCCCGGAACUGCCUCCAAAACUAUUGGUCUAGAGUUCGAGAGAGGUGAGUGGAAUUCCAAGUGUAGAGGUGAAAUUCGUAGAUAUUUGGAGGAACACCAGUGGCGAAGGCGGCUCACUGGCUCGAUACUGACGCUGAGGUGCGAAAGUGUGGGGAGCAAACAGGAUUAGAUACCCUGGGUAGUCCACACCGUAAAACGAUGAUGCCAGUCGUCGGGUAGCAU